rnacentral:rRNA from 1 species
UACGAAGGGGGCUAGCGUUGCUCGGAAUUACUGGGCGUAAAGGGCUCGUAGGCGGUCUGUCACGUCGGGAGUGGAAAACUCAGGGCUUAACCCUGAGCCUGCUUCCGGAUACGGGCAGACUAGAGGUAUGCAGGGGGAGAACGGAAUUCCUGGUGUAGCGGUGAAAUGCGCAGAUAUCAGGAGGAACACCCGGUGGCGAAGGCGGGUCUCUGGGCCGUAACUGACGCUGAGGUGCGAAAGCGUGGGGAGCAAACAGG